ensembl:lncRNA
GGCGUUGGGCGGAGUUGCAGCGUGUGCAGAGCCGUGUGGUGGCGGCGUGGGGUUCGGCUGUGCCUGCCCGGGAGGGAGCCCGGGGGAGGCCGCGCGCUGUGCUGGGCCGUGCUCGGUUCUUUGCUCCUGCUCUUUGCUCCUGCUUCCUGAAGCUCCUCGUCCUCCUUCCCAAGUUGUGUGAAACUACGGUGGUUAACAGACCCGACCCUGUUCUCCCCGCGCUGCCCUGACCUGCAGCCCAGGGGCGGCCCGGCACAGCUGCCUGCAGCCGUAGCAGUGUCCCCAGAUCACGAAUGCCACCGAGGCAGGGAGCGGUGCCACGGCGCAGCUCCGGCAGCUCGCGUGCCCCAGCAGCUGGCCGUACCCAGCACGAGCGUCUUCUGGCUGCUCGGUGCUCGUGGUGCUCAAAUGAACUGGCAGCGUUUCGUGCCAAACAACACAAAUUUGACAUUUGGGCCUGUUAACGUUUGCUGCUCUCUUGGAAUACGCGCAGAAGUGUUUUCUGAUAAGGCUUGGUGUUGAAAAGAGGUGUCCCUGCCAAGAUGGGGUUCCAGCUGGAUCAGUUUUGGAAGACAGUACUUCCAAGCCUCCGUGUCCUGCCAUGAGUCUGCACACCACGCUGACAUCUUGCUUGUUUAUUCUUCUGCCUCCACCACUCAACAGCAGUUGCUGCAUUCACAGCAUUCCUCUUUUCAGCCAUGAUUUGUUACAAGAAAGAUGCUGUGUAGGAGGGGCUCUGGGUCUUCUCCAACGAAGACAGGUUAUAACAGAUGGGCUUUUUACCUAACCUGAGCGAGCCACUGUACUGACAGUGACUGGAGGUAAGUGGCCACGCUGGGCCCUGUGGGAGGGCAUGGGGUAUCUCUGCUAAGUGUUGCAUUAGGGCAGUCUCUGCUCUGCUGUUACAGUGCCCAGGAGCACGGGGUGGCUCAGCCCAGGAUGGUGUGUGGAGGCACUGCUCAGCAGCAGUAACCCAGGCGAACCCUGGAUGGUCUUCGUUAAUCACUUGACAGCACGGCGGCUGUCUGUUCACGUGCCUUUUCCACUCUGAGGCACUUGUUUCCUCCCACUGCAUAUCCUCAGCCCCUCCCAAAUUCAGACUUGAAAAACCAGAGUGCUGUCAGUACCAGUCAGUUCCCUGACAAAUAAUAUAACAAUAUUCACCCAAACACGGCAUUAUUAAGGAUCACCGAUCUGCUCUUCCUCUCAGCAGCCAGGUAGUCAUUUCGUGUAGCUUUGCUCAGAGGAAGGCAGAUAUAAAAAAUAUCUUCCAGACUAAAGAUUCCAUCCUCCCUGGGGCUGGAAGGAUGGAGUCAAGCUUUCCUUGAAUGCAUUUCAGCAUGCUAAAGAAUCAUUUCCCUCUGUUAAAAUUUUGAACUGAUUUACGAAGUGAGGUGUCAGAGCAAAUCACACGCUCCUUUGACUCCUCUGCUGAGUUCAUCUUUUAUCCCUUCACUAACGGGCAUUUCUUUAAGUAGUAGAGAGCUGCUGUUCCUAAAAAGGAAUAACACACCUUAAAUAUUUGCCGAUACAUACUUGAAAACCAUGUGGCGUGAAUGGAUUUAUUGGUGUCAGAUGAGAGCUCUCCUGGGAUGUCAGUGAAGGGCUGGGAAGCGCUGGUGCUCAGGUUUUGUCUGUGGGAUCCCAGCACUUCCAAGGUAAAGGAACAAAGAUCAGCUUUUUCUUCGAGCUGCAGCAUCUGCUGGAAGGAAACUUAGCAGUAAAGUUCCCAUAAGGAACAUAAUAUUUGUCCUGUCUCAAUGUCAAAUUCUCUUCCCCUCCUAUUCCCAAUUCGGUCUGGAGUUUGCAUAUCUCCAUCCCCAGAGUGCUUGCUUAGUUGCAGCUGCCUAAAAGGCAGACUGGCAGACAAGAAAUCAGAUUUUAUUCUUGCCUCUACCAAAAUAUUCUUGUGACCUUAGGCAAACAGUUUUCCUUGCAAGGAAAAUUUAAAUAAUCUUUUAUAUAAUGCAGGCAGUAGUUACCUAUUUCAUAGCACUACAGGGAAGUUGAUUUUGUUCAGAUUCACAAGUUCAAUACCUGAGCUGAAUUUGCUUGGACUUGUUAGGGGAAUCUGAAACUGAGACUUGAGUUCAGUCUGUUCAUUUUCUUUCUGAGAUUCUACUGGAGAGCUGUUCAAACUGAAUAGUCUUCCCAGCAGACAGGGAAAAAAAAAUGAUCUACGUUUAUUCUGGAGGAGUAACACCAGUUAUAUAUAUAUAUAUGUAUUCAUUCUCCAGAAAUGUGUACACUUUGGUGAAAAUGCUAUUUUUG